rnacentral:rRNA from 1 species
UGGGGAAUAUUGCACAAUGGGCGAAAGCCUGAUGCAGCAACGCCGCGUGAGUGAUGAAGGCCUUCGGGUUGUAAAGCUCUGUCUUUUGGGACGAUAAUGACGGUACCAAAGGAGGAAGCCACGGCUAACUACGUGCCAGCAGCCGCGGUAAUACGUAGGUGGCAAGCGUUGUCCGGAUUUACUGGGCGUAAAGGAUGCGUAGGCGGAUUUUUAAGUGAGAUGUGAAAUACCCGGGCUUAACUUGGGUGCUGCAUUUCAAACUGGGAAUCUAGAGUGCGGGAGAGGAGAAUGGAAUUCCUAGUGUAGCGGUGAAAUGCGUAGAGAUUAGGAAGAACACCAGUGGCGAAGGCGAUUCUCUGGACCGUAACUGACGCUGAGGCAUGAAAGCGUGGGUAGCAAACAGGAUUAGAUACCCUGGUAGUCCACGCCGUAAACGAUGAGUACUAGGUGUAGGAGGUAUCGACCCCUUCUGUGCCGCAGUUAACACAAUAAGUACUCCGCCUGGGAAGUACGAUCGCAAGAUUAAAAG